GACGAACGCUGGCGGCAUGCCUAAUACAUGCAAGUCGAGCGAACAGAUGAAGUGCUUGCACUUCUGACGUUAGCGGCGAACGGGUGAGUAACACGUAAGGAAUCUACCUAUAAGCGGGGGAUAACAUUCGGAAACGGGUGCUAAUACCGCAUAAUAUCUUCUUCCGCAUGGAAGAAGAUUGAAAGACGGCUCUGCUGUCACUUAUAGAUGACCUUGCGGUGCAUUAGUUAGUUGGUGGGGUAACGGCCUACCAAGACGAUGAUGCAUAGCCGACCUGAGAGGGUGAUCGGCCACAUUGGGACUGAGACAAGGCCCAAACUCCUACGGGAGUCAGCAGUAGGGAAUCUUCCGCAAUGGGCGAAAGCCUGACGGAGCAAUGCCGCGUGAGUGAAGAAGGCCUUCGGGUCGUAAAACUCUGUUAUAAGAGAAGAACAAAUUGUAGAGUAACUGCUACAGUCUUGACGGUAUCUUAUCGGAAAGCCACGGCUAACUACGUGCCAGCAGCCGCCGUAA
rnacentral:rRNA from 1 species